ACACUUGGUGAAACGUUCUCGUGAGGUGUGACCCGGUUAAUCCAAAUUACUUGAAGAUUUGUCGAUCUAGUCUAGGGUAUAAAUGUAACACCGAACGCUCCACCAAAACUCUUCUUCUGCUGCUACCACUUCUGGGCUUUAGCCUUAGCGUUGCUUGUUUUGGAGACAGCAUUACAAGAAGAACUCUCUAGAACAUCGUCUCGCACAACAGAGAGAGGUUAAACCGAUGUCGUACAACGAACGAUACGAGGGUAUCGGCGAAGAAAACGGCUCGCCGGCGCGGCAACAUAGCGGUGGUCAUGGAGGUGCCGCCGAUAACCACCACGACUCCAAAUCACUGCAUGACUCACAAAGUCACGAGGAGUCUACAAGAAGCAGAGAAAUGGAAAGGGAUAAAGAUAGAGACAAAGAAAGAAAGAGGGACAGGGACAGAGACAGAGAUAGAGAUAGAGACAGAGAUAGAGACAAAGAUAGAGACCGAGGAAAGAGUAGGGAUAGAGACAAAGAUAAAGAUAAAGACCGAGAAAAGAGUAGGGACAGAGAUAGGGACAGAGGAGAGCGUGAUCGCCAUAGGGAUCAACACAGAGAAAGGAGCGAGAGAAGGGGGCGGAGCAGGGAUGUGGUAGAUGAAGAUUAUCGCCACAGUAGUCGAGAUCGUGAUAGACGAAGAGAUUAUGACGAUGACCGAGAGGAUAGGCAUGGAAGAAGUUCUCGAUCUCGUUCUAGGGCCAGAUCUCAUCAUAAAUCAAGGUCACGCUCUCGUUCAAGGUCAAGAUCACGUUCAUGUUCUAAGAGUAAAAGGAUCAGCGGAUUUGACAUGGCACCACCAGCUGCGUUGAUGACUGCUCCUGCUGUUGGAGGCCCAGUCACGACAGCUUCUGUUCCUGGGGUAUUUCCCAACAUGUUUCCUUUAACAUCAGGGCCGAUGCAGCUUGGAACUCUCCCUAUCAUGCCUGUACAAGCAAUGACUCAGCAGGCUACUAGGCAUGCUCGGCGAGUUUAUGUUGGAGGGUUACCUCCAGAAGCUAAUGAACAGUCUGUGGCUAUCUUUUUCAGCCAUGUUAUGGCCUCAAUUGGAGGAAAUACUGCAGGCCCAGGCGAUGCUGUGGUUAAUGUCUAUAUUAAUCAUGAAAAGAAGUUUGCUUUUGUGGAGAUGAGAUCUGUGGAGGAAGCUAGUAACGCUAUGGCGCUAGAUGGUAUUAUAUUCGAGGGUACUCCGGUUAAGGUCAGGAGACCCAGUGACUACAACCCAUCACUUGCUGCAGCACUCGGUCCAAGUCAGCCUAAUCCAAACCUAAACCUGGCUGCUGUUGGUUUGACUCCAGGUUCUGCAGGGGGUCUUGAGGGUCCUGACAGGAUCUUUGUGGGUGGACUUCCCUAUUAUUUUACUGAGGCUCAAGUGCGAGAGUUGUUGGAAUCCUUUGGAGCACUCCGAGGAUUUGAUCUUGUCAAGGAUAGAGAAACUGGAAAUUCAAAAGGCUAUGCAUUUUGUGUGUACCAAGAUCUGUCUGUUACAGAUAUUGUUUGUCAAGCACUUAAUGGAAUCAAAAUGGGGGAUAAAACCCUCACUGUCAGGCGUGCAAACCAGGGUACUCAACAGCCAAAGCCAGAGCAAGAGAGUGUAUACAUGCACGCGCAGCAGCAGAUUGCACUGCAGUUUCACCCUUAUGUUGGCAAACGGACAACAGUGUCAUUUGAAAGGCCAUCUUAUCCCGUGGCAAUACUUCCAUGUUGAAAAUGAUACUGCAACCUGGUGGUCUUCCCACCAAGGUUGUGUGCUUAACAAACUGUGUGAAUCUGGAUGAGCUUAGAGAUGAUGAGGAGUUUGAAGAUAUCUUUGAAGACAUGAGACAAGAGGGAGAAAGAUUUGGUUCUUUACUAAGCGUUGUCAUCCCCAGGCCGCAUCCAAAUGGAGAGCCAUCACCUGGGCUUGGAAAGGUGUUUCUGGAGUAUGCAGAUAUAGAGAGUUCUUCAAAGGCAAGAGCUGGAAUGAAUGGAAGAAAGUUUGGUGGCAAAGAAGUCGUGGCUACAUUUUACCCGGAAAACAAAUAUGCGGAGGCACAAUA